AGUGAACGCUGGCGGUAGGCCUAACACAUGCAAGUCGAACGGCAGCACAGUAAGAGCUUGCUCUUACGGGUGGCGAGUGGCGGACGGGUGAGGAAUACAUCGGAAUCUACUUUUUCGUGGGGGAUAACGUAGGGAAACUUACGCUAAUACCGCAUACGACCUACGGGUGAAAGCAGGGGAUCUUCGGACCUUGCGCGAUUGAAUGAGCCGAUGUCGGAUUAGCUAGUUGGCGGGGUAAAGGCCCACCAAGGCGACGAUCCGUAGCUGGUCUGAGAGGAUGGUCAGCCACAUUGGAACUGAGACACGGUCAAGACUCCUAAGGGAGGCAGCAGUGGGGAAUAUUGGACAAUGGGCGCAAGCCUGAUCCAGCCAUACCGCGUGGGUGAAGAAGGCCUUCGGGUUGUAAAGACCUUUUGUUGGGAAAGAAAAGCAGCAGGUUAAUACCCCGCUGUUCUGACGGUACCCAAAGAAUAAGCACCGGCUAACUUCGUG
rnacentral:rRNA from 1 species